UACGUAGGGCGCAAGCGUUAUCCGGAAUUAUUGGGCGUAAAGAGCUCGUAGGCGGUUUGUCGCGUCUGCCGUGAAAGUCCGGGGCUCAACUCCGGAUCUGCGGUGGGUACGGGCAGACUAGAGUGCGGUAGGGGAGACUGGAAUUCCUGGUGUAGCGGUGAAAUGCGUAGAUAUCUGGAGGAACACCGGUGGCGAAGGCGGCAUUCUGGACCGAAACUGACGCUGAGGCGCGAAAGCCAGGGGAGCAAACGGG
rnacentral:rRNA from 1 species